CACAUGUAUACAAGCACAAUCAUUCUAUAGUUAUCAGACCGAUAAUCAUAUAUACCUUAUCAGCCUUCGGGCUUAUUCUGUUAUGGCUAGCACUGGUCGUCUAUUCUAUUCAACCUUUGAAAUAGUCUUCUAGUCUUCGAUAUCGUGGAUCUCCGGAUACUCACCUCGGCCAUCUAUUAGCCAUCUUUGUAGCAAUCUAUGAGCCCUCCAAGUUCUACUUGUUCGUCCUUAAUUUGACCUAAGUGUAAUUUUCAUAGCCGAACCCAUAGAUCUUGGCAAGAGUCACACAAUUCUCACUUACUUUGAUUCAAUCUACCUAAUUCAUAUGGCACUUGCUCCUAAUCACUAGCUAGAUGGAUGAGAUGUUGUGUAAAUAUGCCCUUCACAUUUCAUUGGUCAAGGAUGACAAAGCUGAUGGAAUGUCUAUUAUAGCCUCCUUGAUACUUGCAAUUACGAUCCCAAAAUUUUGGUUUUAGUUUAUUGAUCGAGUAUUCCCUUUUACCAAGGCAUUUUCUUGCUUCCUUUGGUAAUCUAUUCAGAUUCUUUGAUUUUGCUAAAUCUUCCACUUUUGCCACCUCCUUAUGUGGAAUGCUUCUCAUCACUAUAACAGUUCGUGUUCCCUUGGAAGGAUCCUCCACAUGAAAAUAAGAUGAUAAUGCCCCCCGACAUAGAACCUCCAUCCUUGACGUAGAAUUUCUAGGUGACAUGUAGCUUCCAUCCUUGAUGUAGUCUACACUCAACCUGUGUGACUACAGGACCUCCACACUACUAUUUAUUUAUGAAGAGAAGGUUGAUACUUCUAACCAAAGUACAUACUUCGGUCCAUCAAGAUUUUUUUGGUUUACAUGAUUGCCCC
rnacentral:lncRNA from 1 species